CCCUUAGAUGUCCUGGGCCGCACGCGCGCUACACUGACAUGUUCAACAAGCCUCCUAGUUCGACAGGAUUUGGGAAAUCUUUGAACGCAUGUCGUGAUAGGGAUAGAUCAUUGCAAUUAUUGAUCUUGAACGAGGAAUUCCUAGUAAACGCGAGUCAUCAGCUCGCAUUGAUUACGUCCCUGCCCUUUGUACACACCGCCCGUCGCACCUACCGAUUGAAUGUUUCGGUGAAGAUUCUGGAUAGGACUUUUUUGAUUUAUUUCAAUUUUGUCUUAAAAGCUAUCUAAACCUCAACAUUUAGAGGAAGGUGAAGUCGUAACA
rnacentral:rRNA from 1 species